rnacentral:rRNA from 1 species
UAACCUGCCCAUCAGAAGGGGAUAACACUUGGAAACAGGUGCUAAUACCGUAUAACAAUCGAAACCGCAUGGUUUCGGUUUGAAAGGCGCUUUUGCGUCACUGAUGGAUGGACCCGCGGUGCAUUAGCUAGUUGGUGAGGUAACGGCUCACCAAGGCAACGAUGCAUAGCCGACCUGAGAGGGUGAUCGGCCACAUUGGGACUGAGACACGGCCCAGACUCCUACGGGAGGCAGCAUG